UAUAAAUACAGUUUUGCACUAUUUAUUUUUAAUAUUUGACCAUUCGUUUUAUUUAAAUUUUUUUUUAUGAUUACUAUUUUUAUUGUUAUUAGAUGAUAAAACAUAAAUAAUAAUUUAUGUGUGACUAACUUUUUUUAAAUUUUUCAUAAAAUUUUUAAAUAAGACGGACGGUCAAACGUUGGACACGAAUUUUCAUUGCUGUAUUUAUU
rfam:Oryza glaberrima chromosome 10 Oglab10_0100_1, whole genome shotgun sequence.